AGCAAUCAAUGGCUCGGUGGC
rnacentral:miRNA from 1 species